rnacentral:lncRNA from 1 species
UCUCAUUUUUCCCGGGCUUUCGGUCGGCGUUUUCGUUUUCUCGCGGGUUUGGGCGCGCAUCGAACUCUGAAGGGUCGGGAAGGCCUGUCGUUGGAAUGUGGUUGAGUUCCAGGGAGUGUACAGGCUGGAGGAUGGGACAAGACCUAUCUCUGUAUCGAUCAAGCACGGCGUUGGUGUUCCAGCUCAUCACCAAUCCUAAGGAAUUCAAGUGCCUCCCAGGAUGAAUACAGGUUGUCUUGAUGGUGAUACAUUCAUCUGUCUUAAGAUCCCUGCUGAUCUGCUCAUGGUCAAACUCAUGGAAAGAGUUGAGAGUGGUGAGUACUUGUAACCUUGGUUAUAACUUGUCUCCAGUGCCAGUGAGGAGAGCAAGCAUCCUGUCUUAACCCCUGUCCUAGCCCCAGAGCCAGUAAUGGUGAACCCACUGGGGCUAACAGGGAGAGAGGAUGAAAACAUGUUCCGUAAGGAACUGUCUGAGGUACAGCAACUUCCAGUGGGUAGCAUUUGUUUAGCUUCCCUUGGCUUACAUAUUAGCUGGGAUCCUUUUGGUUUUUUAAGGUACUCUACUGAUUUCAUGAUCUUCUCAUUCAGGGGCACCUUGUUCCUGCAUCCUCAAAGGAGCAUCUUGUUCCAGAGUUAAAAGGUUCCAGAGUUAAAAGGUUAGUUGAUUAAUGUCACCAUAAUAUAUGCCACCAAGUAAGCAGUUUCUGUGAUGAAUCAAACUAGCUCACUAUGAACUAACAAUGAAAAGAUAUGAACACCUGAGAAACUGGAGAACAGAGCAGUGGGAUACUGUCUGCAAGGAACUUAAUAUCACUUACAGUUUUGUCCUUUCCUAGGUACCUGUACCAUUUAGCGGCUUGUUCACUCAAAGGUAAAGGUGAGUGAUUUAUAUGUUGGCGCAUACAGUGUACUGAGGGAGAAAAUGCCUUUUUAGGCAUCUACACAUGAUGACUUACAUGGAAUCUCGUUCGGCUGAUGAUUUGCUGUUGAGACUCGGAAAUCUGAAUUUUUUUUUCUUUUAAGAACUUAAGUGGGAACAAAUUUUAAUGUAGGAAGUAAGCAUUACUGACUCAUUCUUGUUUUGUUUUAGAUCCAUCUUUUCUGGAGCCUGAGGAUGAUUGGAGGUGAAAGGUGUAAGCCAUACUCUGCUCAACUCCAGUCUGAAACUAAGGUUAAAAGAACACGUACUUAACACACGGGUAAGUAAGUAUCCAUUCACGUACUUGUGUUAAAUAUCAGACUAACUAUAUAAAUACAAUGUUCUAAGUCCGUUUUAGUAAGAACCCUAAACUGUUCUUUUUCUCUGCAGGAAUCCAACUCUUGGAGGACAUCAGAAGUGGAAUUUUCUUAUACAACCUACCUAUUCAAAUUAGCAUAUAAUCUUUCUAGCCUUUCUAAAUAAAUAAAGGGAUUUUUUUGUA